AACGAACGCUGGCGGCAGGCCUAACACAUGCAAGUCGAGCGAACCCUUCGGGGUUAGCGGCGGACGGGUUAGUAACGCGUGGGAAUAUACCCUUUGGUACGGAAUAGCCUCGGGAAACUGAGAGUAAUACCGUAUGUGCCCUUCGGGGAAAGAUUUAUCGCCAAAGGAUUAGCCCGCGUUGGAUUAGAUAGUUGGUGGGGUAAUGGCCUACCAAGUCUACGAUCCAUAGCUGGUUUGAGAGGAUGAUCAGCAACACUGGGACUGAGACACGGCCCAGACUCCUACGGGAGGCAGCAGUGGGGAAUCUUAGACAAUGGGCGCAAGCCUGAUCUAGCCAUGCCGCGUGGACGAUGAAGGCCUUAGGGUUGUAAAGUCCUUUCGCAAGGGAAGAAAACGGCAAGGUUAAUACCUUUGUCGGCUGACGGUACCUUGACAAGAAGCACCGGCUAACUACGUGCCAGCAGCCGCGGUAAAGUAGACGU
rnacentral:rRNA from 1 species